rnacentral:rRNA from 1 species
UACGUAGGGGGCAAGCGUUGUCCGGAUUCAUUGGGCGUAAAGAGCGUGUAGGCGGCCAGGUAGGUCGGUUGUGAAAACUGGAGGCUCAACCUUCAGAGGUCGACCGAAACCAUCUGGCUAGAGUCCGGGAGAGGUGAGUGGAACUGCGAGUGUAGAGGUGAAAUUCGUAGAUAUUCGCAAGAACACCAGUGGCGAAGGCGGCUCACUGGCCCGGAACUGACGCUGAGGUGCGAAAGCGUGGGGAGCAAACAGG